AUGCUGUUCUUACCAGGCAAGUUAGAAAAAAAGAAGGUGGCCUGGGAACCCAAGUGUCCUUUUUGCAAUGAGAUUGAGUCUUCCAGACAUUUAUUUUUCACUUGCCCGGUGGCUAGAGUGAUAUGGAGAUGUAUUGGGAUGGCAUUGGGGACUCACUUAUGCCCGAAUAGUUAUUGGCAAUACUUCUCUUGGUGCCACACUUUCCUCCCUGCUGGAGGAAAGUAUUAUACCGUGGGUCUCGCUGCUGUUUGCUGGGCGAUCUGGCUUGCUCGAAACCGAGCAACUUUUGAGAAAAAGCAGAUUAAAACUCGUUUUGAGAUUGUUUUCUCCGUGGUUUCCUUUUUGCUGUACUGGGCAGGUCUACAACAAGGAGAAGGGAUCAAGGAGCUGCGAAGCGGGGCGGAGAUGGUCAGGUCAAGCACAGUGCGGCUGAUGAAGAUGUGUGAAGCGGUGAGGAGGCCAAUCGAGGGAGAAUGA
rnacentral:rRNA from 1 species